UAAGGCGGCCACAGCGGCGGGGACACACCCGUACCCAUCCCGAACACGGCAGUUAAGCCCGCCAGCGUUCCGGCCAGUACUGGCGUGCGCGAGCCGCUGGGAACACCGGAUCGCCGCCUCCC
rfam:uncultured archaeon A07HB70 genomic scaffold scf7180000022062, whole genome shotgun sequence.